rnacentral:lncRNA from 1 species
GUUUGCCCCAUAACCCUUAUAUCCCAACCUUCUACUUAUGGUAUUAAACAUUGUAGUACAAUUUCAGAACAGUUGAAAGACUUAUGUCCUGAAACUAGAUAAAUGCUUGUUUUGGGCCCCUAAUUCCUAAACCUUUGGGACCAUAACCCCCAAAAAUCAAUCCCAAGUUUCCUUUUGUGGUUAUAAACAUUGUGUUAAUUUUUAUUUUUUUUUUAUUUCUGUUUACUUAUACUAAAGUUAUUAUCCGGAAACCAUCCGUCUUCGGACGACGCUGACGACGACGACGACGACGUA